rnacentral:rRNA from 1 species
CCCAGACUCCUACGGGAGGCAGCAGUGGGGAAUAUUGCACAAUGGGGGAAACCCUGAUGCAGCGACGCCGCGUGAGUGAAGAAGCAUUUCGGUAUGUAAAGCUCUAUCAGCAGGGAAGAAAAUGACGGUACCUGACUAAGAAGCCCCGGCUAACUACGUGCCAGCAGCCGCGGUAAUACGUAGGGGGCAAGCGUUAUCCGGAUUUACUGGGUGUAAAGGGAGCGUAGACGGCAUGGCAAGUCAGAUGUGAAAGCCCGGGGCUCAACCCCGGGACUGCAUUUGAAACUGUCAGGCUGGAGUGCAGGAGAGGUAAGUGGAAUUCCUAGUGUAGCGGUGAAAUGCGUAGAUAUUAGGAGGAACACCAGUGGCGAAGGCGGCUUACUGGACUGUAACUGACGUUGAGGCUCGAAAGCGUGGGGAGCAAACAGGAUUAGAUACCCUGGUACU